AUCUCUACCUGGAGAUCCUUCCUUGUGGAGUACUGGGCAAGCCCUGAUCCUGGGGAGGGGGUAUUCCUUGGAAAUUACAUAGCAACUUAUGAAAGUGAUGGGAACAUUACUAGUAUAACACCAUGUCAUCUCCUGAUAUCAGUGUAAAUGCCUCGGAUCACCACAGUAUUUGAUAACAUCACAAAGAUAAAUGUUUCAUCCAUGCAUAAUUCCAACAAUGGAGGAUGAAUGUAGCAGCAAGACUAUUUACAUUCCUGCAAAUGCAUCAAAGCUCAAAAGAUAUAAGUGACAUAAAAACAUAGUAGAAGUAUUUUAAAGAAGCACUGGAAGACAGUCUGUUUCUGUGGGGAAAGACUGAGGUGAGUGUGUCUAACCAUGCCAUAGAGGAAAAGAUGAGUUUACUCUAUAGUUCUCAAAACCUAUCCAGGGAGAAAGGAUUAGGGUCUGACUUCCAAUCCACAAUGAAUUAAUUAUUCCUUUGUUACUGAGUACAAAAGACUAAACUAAGGCUUCAGGCAGAGCAAGUCUGACGUGGCUGUACAUUGGUGGUUACAACUGCUGGUGGUAAAAACAGAGUACCAUUUUAAAAGUUACAUCAAAAUAGAUGUGUAUGAGAAACUUUGAGCAAGCACACUCUCACCCUUCUAUGUUCCUUAAGACACAAUGCAUCAGAUCUAUAUGAAAUGUCUUUUACAACUCUCCUGACCUCUCACUGCCCUCAGCAGCCUCUUUCAUAGGACUGCUGUGGCUUUCUUGGUAUUGUUCUAUGCCCAUCACCACACCCAGGAGCAGAGGAUGAAGCAGCUUCAGAGUUAAAAAGGUACCACAGCUUGUUUCUGCAUUGUCCAUCUUCACAGCCCCAUCCAGGUCAUCCCCAAGAAGUCCAUCCCUAUGUGCUCUACACCAGAUUAUUUCCUACCAGGCUACUCCUGCUCAGCAACCCUAUGAUGUUUGAUGAAGAUACUCACCGCCAGCAAGAGCUUCCUCUCUUGCGCUGUCGUCAUCGCUAGGCUGGAGAAUAUUCCAGGAUGUCAAAGUGAGUGAAGAAAUGUCUUCAGCUGAUGACAGCUUUAGCAUGUCCAUGUGAUUGCUGUGAGGUUUGUAACGUGGGAUGAAACACUCCUUGCCUUGCUUAAAAAUGUCCUUAAUGAUUUCUUCUGUCUGGAUUUCAUCUGGCAUGCUCAGAAAGAUCGCAAUUCUUUUGGAUUCUUGGUACUUGGAAUGCCCAAUCACCUAUAAAGGAAACUGCCAUCAUCAGUUCAGGAGAAGUUCACAAAAAGACUGACUGGCUUUAUUUUAAUAUAAAACACCACUGGAGGAAAAUACCCAUUGGAAAAAGUAGAAAUACAAAUUGCCAUAAAGAGAACAAGAUGACUUUGUUUCCUGUUCUAACAUUUCUACCAUCAGCGAAAUCAAAAUAGGCAAAUUUCUGUACCCAAAUAAAAAUAAAACAGGUUGAGACCAUCAAAAAACACCGAUUUUGGAGUCAGUCCAGACCCUUUAAAUACUUAUGCCAUACAGCACCAGUGUCCUCAAAUUCCCAGCAUCACCAGGGACAGAUACAGCAGGUCAGAACUGCCAGCUCAUACAAUACAUGAGGUUUUUGCAUUCCUUUUAUUCCAUCUUUUUUGCAUGCUGCGCUUCACAACUGGACCUGGGCACAAUGAGAAGUGCAUUGAUUACAAUAACCCAAAAGAAAAUGUGCAUCAGAGCAGCUGACUGCAGAACUCAAAGCCUUACAAGAUCAGGCCCUUCUUUUGUUAAUCUGGAAUGCCUUUCCAAAAGCAAAUUUAGACAUACAGCUACAAACAUCACCUGCUUGUGAUGAGUGAUCUUAUUGCUGCAUGUUUUUCAGAGGUUGAAGGAAAGAUGGCCUUGCUGGUUUUUGAUUUCCAGGAGGUUGUCUGUGCUGGACUUAGUAAAGACUGAAGGUAGGAAGGAAAAUAAAAAGCGGUGAAUAUGGUGAAAAAGCAUUAACAGAUUGAUACCUCGCUGCAUCUCUGCCCAAUUCCAGAUUAAAUCCCAUGUUAAAGUUUGUGAGAAUCUUUUUUAAAGGCUUGUCUUUUCUAACGUCUUACAAAACAAAUACAAAUGGGUCCCUUGUGAUUAGAUGUGAUUUAUAUGUGUUCUACACACUUCCAAAAAUCUGUCAAAAAAUAUCUGGCAACUGAGAAAUGGUGCUUAUCUACAGAACAGAGAACAGCAAAUCCUGUGUUUGCCUAACUUCAGGGUAACUGCCCUUCUGAGCUUUAGCCCUUGCCCUUUUUGGACACAGAUAGGCUAAUAUCUGAGUUCAGAACUGCUUCUCAUUCCUUUUUAUUCUUUCUUUCUAGCACCUCAGUUACAAACCCAGGUGAAGUAUCGAAAGACGAAUAUAUUUUUGUAAGCGCUUCCCAAAACUUCAUGUCCAUUGCAUCGCUUUCCCAUGAGGAAGUUGACUGCUUUCUGUCACUCAGGAUGCUGUUCUGGCUGAAGAAAGCUCAAGACUUUCAGCUUGUCACAUUAGCAAAAUGCCAUCGUAGCAUGGAUUUGUCAUAUUUCCCCAGCCUUCCUUCAGGUAAAACAAAAGCUUUACCUUUUGGCACGUUCUCCCUACCAAGAAUAAAUGUGUUGCUGCUGAGUGUACCAGCUGUGGUCAGACCGAGGCUGAGGGCUCCAAAUACUCUGUGCUACACGGCCUGGGUGCUUAUAAGGUUGGCCAAGGGCUAUCCAUUUUUGAUCAGCGUUCUAAAAAAUGGUGGAAUUUAAGGAUAGGAUGUGGAAUUACUACAGUGCAAAGAUAUUUUAGUAGGACAUUACAUGUAUUGAGAGGAAAGAAAGAAUGAAACAUCGCAAAGGGGGGGGAAAAAGGUGUGUAUAAGAUGUAGUUCAACCUAAGUCCUAAAGUUUCUGUGCUGCUCUGUCAUGUUCAUGGAGUGGCUGCACAUCACCACUAAGUGAAGUUUACAAAAUGCUUUCAGAUCCUUUGGCAGGAAAUUAACUAUACAAAUGUAGAUCGUCUACAUGUACACGCUGGUGCUGUGGGGAAAAAAGAUAGCUGUGUUCUGUUACGUGCAGUGACUGCAAGAUAUCUUUUUAUUGUGUUUAUUAAAGUGAUAAAAUACAGUGACAUAAACACUCUGUCGUCCCAAUGCUAGCAGAACAUUCCAGGAGCACAGGCCGGCACCACGCUGUGCCGGGACAAGGGUGAGGUGAGCCCUGCCCGGUAGCUUUCAAGUGUGAACAUCGCAUUAGAAACAGAAUUGCCCGGAAGAAGCACACUGAAAGGCACGAACGGGAAACGACAACCAAAAGGCCGCAAUGAGUCAGUCGCAAAGUUUUUAGACGUGCUUAGCUGGGCGCUGGCCGCACGGUGAGAGCGAUGUGACAAAUGCAAGAUGAACACCCAACGCAAAACCCCGCUGCUUUGGGCUCUAGGGCAGGGCUCGCCUCCGGUCUCACCACCUCCCAGCAGUCACCCACACCACGCGCUUCCCACCGGGGCCUUCAAUCCCGGCCCCGCUGCCCCGCUCCUUCCCACAGCCGCCAUGCCGCCGGCAGGAGGAGGAAGGGAACGGCUCGCUCCUCGCGGCGCUCCAGGAGGGGGCUGCGCAGCGACCGAGGAGCGGCGGGGGGAAACCCGGGCUCACCGCUCCG